GGCGGGUUGGUGAAACUGGUAAACACACGCGUUUGAGGAACGCUCGUUGAAAAACGUUUGGGUUCGAUGGGGCGGCUCAUGUGAGUUCUGCCCACGCGAUCUGGGUCCGCACAAAAGAUGACUUCCUGGUUCGAGUCCAGGACCCGCCA
rnacentral:tRNA from 1 species